rnacentral:rRNA from 1 species
UACGAAGGUCCCGAGCGUUGUUCGGAAUCACUGGGCGUAAAGGGAGCGUAGGCGGCGCGGUAAGUCAGAUGUGAAAUCCCGGGGCUCAACCCCGGAACUGCAUCCGAUACUGCCGUGCUAGAGGAUUGGAGAGGUAGCUGGAAUUCUUGGUGUAGCAGUGAAAUGCGUGGAGAUCAAGAGGAACACUCGUGGCGAAAGCGAGCUACUGGACAAUAACUGACGCUGAGGCUCGAAGGCCAGGGUAGCGAAAGGG